GGUGGGGUGGGGUCCCUUGCAGGAUCUGUGUCUGGAGGAGCUGGAAUCCGAGGUCCACACUACCUAACCGGCUGUAUUAGCCCGGGCGGGUCCCGCGACCUCUGAGCCUGAGCUCUUCCGUGCAAAUCGGGCCCAGACCAGGGGCCCUCGCCGGGCUGGGGGGUUAUGGGGAGCACCUGGGCCGCUCUCGGACACCGUGGCGUUCCCAGGACGAGGCCGGGAAAAGCAGGCAGAGCCGAGCAAUGCUGCUUGCCUCCGCCCCGCACCCUGUCAUGGGCAGAACGGGUAAAAGGAAAGACGAGCUGGGGAGGGCUGAAAGAUACGGUUAUAAAUAUCUCUUUUUAUCUGUGACCUUAUCCUGCCCUCCCCAGCCCUUGCGUCCUGGUCCUGUCUUCCAAGAAAGCAGCAGCAGCAGCUUUCUGCGAGGCGUCCGAAACAACCAGUUCUGGGCGGCUCCUCCGCUGAGCUGGCAGGAGUCAGCAGGCGUGGUGGCGCACAUCUGUCAUCCCAGCACUCGUGAGGCUGAGGCAGAAGGAUUGCUGUGAUUUUGAGGCCAUCCUGGAGUACUUAUUAUCUUGGAGAACUAUGCUCGCCACCCUGGGAACAUCCAAUCUGCUGCUCCUGGCGGCUGCAGGAAGCUUGAAUCGAGGCAUCCCCACAUUCAUGCACAGAUAUCCUGGAACAGAGGCCGCCCCCCAUCGUAAAUGACCGUGGCAAAUGUCUGUCUGUGCCUCUGCCUAUGGCUGGGUGAGAAGAUCUUUGAGAGUAUUCACGGAAAAGAAAGGGGGGGCACAGGCCACCCACAUAAGCCCAGCCAUGGAUCCCUGAGCCCUGUCAACUUCUGGCAUCGUCCUCCUAAAUUUUCCAACCUAAGUGUGGUGGAUUAACUAAUGGUCAACCUGGAGCACCCAGCUAAACUGAGCCAGCAUGGUUCUGGGUGUGAAAGACCCACCUGAGGAUUGCUGACAAUAGUUUAAAAAGAGAACUGAAGAGGAAGAUUGUAUGCUGUUGACUUUCCUGGAGCAGCUUGGCACAGCUGGUUUUCUUGAUGUGAACUCGGCUGUUCUCCUCAGCAGAGGAGGAGCUUGGGUCCUCACCAUUGCUGGAUGGCUGUAUUCCCAGGGGAGCUCUGAUCUUUGCCUUGAGUGUGGUUUCCUCGCUGCAGUGCAGAUCUCUUCUCAGCCUGGUGGAACAGACCCUUCACCCUCCCUGCCCAGACUUUUUAGCUCCCACCACUGGCCUUUGGGCCUUCCCAGUGCAGAUCCUCAGUACAGACAAGUAUGAGACAUUGCCUUGGGCUCUCGGUCCUCAGCUGGACUUGGGUGGAACUUUGCCAUGGGAUCCAAGGCCUCGGCUGGAUUCUUCAGGUCUCUACUGUGUGGACAGAUGUCUCGCAUUCCUCUGCAUUUGACUUUUUGAGUCAAUAUUAUAAAAUAAUCCUCUAAAUUAUGUGUCCUGUAUUAAAUCUAGUCCCUUACACACUUUGACUACAACACUAAGUGAUAUAAUUUUUUAGUUUUAAAUGAUAUUAUUAUUGUUGUUGUUGUUACCAUGUGUCACUGGAGAUUGAGCUCAGGGGCACUCUACCACUGAGUUGCAUUCCCAGUCCUUUUUAAAUUCUGAGACAAGACCUAGGUGUGGUGGCACACACCUGUAUUCCUAGAGUUCUGGGAAGCUGAGGCAGGAGGAUCAAAGUCCAAGCCCAGGCUGGGCAACUUAAUAACUUAGUACAUAGUGAGACCCUGUCUCAAAAAAUAAAAAAGAGGCCAGGAGUGUGGAUGGCUCAGUGAAAAGAUACGCUAUGCUGGGAUUACAGAUGUGCACCCUCAUGCCUAUUUCUCCUGUUCAGUAGCUUUUAAAUUUCCCCUUCUGAGACAACUCACAGUGUGGGAAAAAAUUUUUGCCAGCUGUUUCUCAGGAAAAGAACUGUUAUCUAGAAUAUGUAAAGAACUCAAGCUCUCUUCUGUUUCUAUCUGCCAAUGUGUGUGUGCGAUUGCCUCUGAACCUAACCAUGUCUUCUCACAAGACUCAGAAUCAAGCAAUUCCUGGCCAAGAAGCAAAAGCAGAACUGUUUCAUUCCUCUGUGGAUUCGGGUGAAGACUGGUAAUAAGGAGUUGUACUGGAGGAGGACCAAGCUGGGACUGGAAGGAACUGAACAUGAGCUGCACCAUAUUUCUCUCAUGGAAGUCACAAAAUGAUGCAUUCUUUAUCAUGGUUGAGGUUUCAUUACCAUAUCAAGCUUAAAAAGUACCAUUGGCUGGACAGUUGAACAUCCUCAAUCAGGAAUCUUGUUUUGUGAUCACCACUAAUGAGUCAACAAUAAAUGUUUGAAACCUUU